rnacentral:rRNA from 1 species
ACGAACGCUGGCGGCGUGCUUAACACAUGCAAGUCGAACGGAAAGGCCCUGCUUUUGUGGGGUGCUCGAGUGGCGAACGGGUGAGUAACACGUGAGUAACCUGCCCUUGACUUUGGGAUAACUUCAGGAAACUGGGGCUAAUACCGGAUAGGAGCUCCUGCUGCAUGGUGGGGGUUGGAAAGUUUCGGCGGUUGGGGAUGGACUCGCGGCUUAUCAGCUUGUUGGUGGGGUAGUGGCUUACCAAGGCUUUGACGGGUAGCCGGCCUGAGAGGGUGACCGGCCACAUUGGGACUGAGAUACGGCCCAGACUCCUACGGGAGGCAGCAGUGGGGAAUAUUGCACAAUGGGCGGAAACCUGAUGCAGCAACGCCGCGUGCGGGAUGACGGCCUUCGGGUUGUAAACCGCUUUCGCCUGUGACGAAGCGUGAGUGACGGUAAUGGGUAAAGAAGCACCGGCUAACUACGUG